GUCCUUCACAAAGAUGACUCCUGUGGGGAAGGUGAGGGCGGUCUAAGGGUGGUUGGCGGCGAUAAGCCUAAGAGCCUGGGACAUCCAGCCUGUGGUGAGCUCUGUCCCUGCUCAGCACCUUCAGAGCUGCACGGGACCGAGCAGCUCCUGCCAGCUCUGUGGGUCUUUGCCUCCUCCUCUGUCUGAUGGGAAGGCUCCUACCUGGAGCACUUAGGAUAUAUGUGAGCACUAGAAUUCAUUAAGCCACAAAUGUGAACAUGCUCUUUUAGGAAACCGCAAAGCCCUGGGCUGGUGAGUGGC
rnacentral:lncRNA from 1 species